rnacentral:lncRNA from 1 species
CGGCCGCCGCUGUCCGCGCUGGAGACCACAGCACCGCACAGGCAGCGCCUGUCCUCCGCGCCUCCGGAGCCUCCUCCAGCCUGCGCGCCGGGCGGAUCGCACGGGCCAUCUCCCACGGCGACCUACGGCUCGCCCUGCAGGUUCUUACUGGGAAGCCAAUAAAAGAAGACAGUUAAGGCACCAGCAGUGCCAGCGGGGCUGACAGACUGCAGCAAAAGAACAGAGGCCAGGCCACUGAGAAGCAGUUGUAAUGGUACAGCCAAGCUAGAAGACUCUGACACGAGGCAAAGGAAGUUUGGACACAUCAUCAGUGGCCAGAGCUUUCCGAGUCUCGUCCGAUCCGAGGGAGAUGGACUGAAGCCACAGACUGUCUGGUUCUUUGUCUGGGAGUUGGAAGGAGGAUUGGGAUGGUCUCACGUGCACAUCCCUAGACUAAUUGCAACCAUGAGUUCAGACGAGAAGGGCAUAUCCCCUGCUCAUAAAACAUCCACUCCGACCCACAGAAGUGCCUUGUCGUCAACAUCUUCUCAGAGGGAAAGCAGACAG